rnacentral:rRNA from 1 species
GACGAACGCUGGCGGCGUGCUUAACACAUGCAAGUCGAACGGAAAGGCCCUGCUUUUGUGGGGUGCUCGAGUGGCGAACGGGUGCGUAACACGUGAGUAACCUGCUCUUGACUUUGGGAUAACUUCAGGAAACUGGGGCUAAUAUCGGAUAGGAGCCCCUGCUGCAUGGUGGGGGUUGGAAAGUUGCGGCGGGUGGGGAUGGACUGGCGGGUUAUCAGCUUGUUGGUUGGGGAGUGGCUUACCAAGGCUGUGACGGGUAGGCGGCCUGGGAGGGUGGCCGGGGACAAUGGGACUGAGAUACGGCCCAGACUCCUACGGGAGGCAGUAGUGGGGAAUAUUGCACAAUGGGCGGAAGUCUGAGGCAGCAACGCUGCGUUCGGGAAGACGUCCUUCGGGUUGUAAACCGCUUUCGCCUGUGACGAAGCGGGAGUGACGGUAAUGGGUAAAGAAGCACCGGCUAACUACGUG